GACAGUCAAGCGCAGGAAGUAGUAGAGGCCGCCGCAAGGUGGCAGCCCGAAAGGGUGGGAUCCUCGAACCUGGGGGCUGUCACCAA
rnacentral:sRNA from 12 species